GCUACUGGGUCCAAAUGGCCCACUUGGUCCUCUUGGUCCACUAGGUCCAAAUGGUCCACUUGGUCCGCUAGGUCCCCCUAGCCCGCUUGGUCUGAAUGGUGCACUAGGUCCACCAGGUCCUUUAGGUCCUCCUGGGCCACUGGGUCCGAAUGGCCCACUUGGUCCUCUUGGUCCACUAG